UCAGGCCGUAAGGCUCUUGAACGCAUCAUAAUGAAAUUAUCCCCUCAACUCCCCCCAAAAUUGAUUAACUCGCUGGAAUAAAAAAGACAAUAUAACAAACAUCCAUAAACGUGGACGCAUGUGAAAAAGUGCAAUAUAUUUAUCUGUACAGUAACCUAUUUAUUUAUUUAUAUAUGCACCUUAUUGCUCUUUUAUCCCGCACUACCAUUAGCUUAUGUAACACAAUUUCGUUCCUAUUUGUACUGUAAAGUUCAAAUUUGAAUGACAAUAAAAAGGACGUCUAAGUCUAACUAGUCUUAACAAGACCUGUCCAUACCUGCCAACUUUUGAAAUCAGAAAAACCUAGUAGCCAGGGUCCAAGGGCCACAGGCCCCGGUAGGUCCAGGACAAAGUCCUGGUGGGGGGUUCCUUCGCCCCCCGACGCAAAAUGAUUAUUAGCAUUCAGACAGGUUAAAAUGUUGCACAUUUGUUAAUCAUUGAACACUUUUGGAUGUCAUCUCUUAUUCAUUACAACUAGCCAGCCAUACCAAUAAAAUGCAGCCCGGACCUUCUUUGUCGAUUGUUACUUUACCUACAACAGUAUUAUAAAAAUGUUUAAAGUCAAACCCCAAAAUUAAUAUGCACUGUAUAAUCUAUUUGUGAAGGUCAUUGUGUAUACUAACAUUACUUGCUGGGCAGACGCCAUUAGCGUUACCGCAACCUCUCAAAGGACCACUCGUUGUCACAACAGUUAAAUAUUUUCACUUCACAACAUUACAUGGUUAACCAACUAAAAAAUAUUAGGAUACUUACCUCUCCAAGUCUUCUGUCACAAGCGUUGCAGUUGUCGUUUCCAAAAACGUUCCCGCUUCUUCUUCUCUUUCUUCUUCUUCCUCGUUUUCGUUCGAGGUCGGCGCACACAACGUUAAAAUGUUACGCCACCUACUGUUUUCCCGCUUCUUCUUCUUCUGACGUUGAUGGCAAACAACGCGUCAUGUCCGCCGCUAUCUAAUAGAAGGCGUGAAUUUUCUGAAUUGCCUUCCUUUGAAAGUUACACAUAGCCAAAAAUGGCUAUUUUCAGAUGGACAUAUAAGGAGAAAAUCAACUUUAUCUAAAUUUUGAGAUGUGGAUCUGUCUCAUCAACAUUCUCGCGAGAUUUAGCACGGCGCCCCAUGAAUCUGUCCAAUCAUAUUUGCUCUUCCUGGAAAACACGCAUGCGCAUUUAGUGGGCGAAUGUGACUUGUAUCGAUUGGAGGAAACAAUUCAGCAUCAAAGGAAUAACGACUGAAAGUAAGUAAUACCAUUUAUUGUUUUUGUUUUGGUAUUUAAAUUACUUUAACACACACGAGUUAUUAUUCAUCAAACUAAUGUAACGUCACUGUGUUACGAAAAUAGAGCUAUAAAUGCCGCAUUCUACGGCGCAACCACCUUGCCCGAAGCUAUGAUACUUACCUCCACCGAGGCAUCGCAAGUGAUAAGAUACACUUUAUACAUCCCAUAGUGAAAUAACAAUGAUAGAAAUACAUGUACAGAGAACAUUGGAAGUGGAACAAUAUAAAUUACUGAACAUACACUGCUUCAACAUAAUAUAGAGUUUUACAUUUACAAGAAGUUCCACUGUGUAUUCCAGCAACCUUUGUCUGUAUUUACAUAGUAUUGGAGUGUCAAAAUGACAAAACGAAAACCUGCAAAACGAUGGAGAAGAACCGGUAAAGAAGUCGACUCAAAUAAACGAUCAAGAAGGACUGUACAAUUGCCACCAAUGUGAAUGUGGAGACUGAUGAGCAAUGUCUAAGAGGUAGCAGCAGGGGAACAGAAGGAGCCCAAAACACUGCUCUUCAUAUGGAACACAUCCAACCUCCGGGUGUCCAUGCAGGAUGUACCACUCUGGAACAUCAAGCCUCUCCCUACCCGCCAGCACAUGAAAAUAUUUCUACUUUUGACUCUAUCAAAGACAAUGGAAAACCAUUUUCCAGAUCAGCCAUCAUAGAUCCUCCUGAUGGCCUAACAACUGAACUACAUGUCGAUGCUGAGUAUGAUCCAUCUCAAUCAUUUGAGGAAUCUCUCCCUGAUAUGGGGGAUUGGAUGUACAAUGACGGACAUACGUUUAAUGAAGGAUUUGAAGAUAGUUUGAGUGAGGAGUGUGCAGAAGAGUCAAAUAUCAAGGACACAACAGACAAACCAUUAUAUGACAAUGCAUCAGUAACCGUGGCAGAGUGCCUUCUGAUCAUCAUGGCUUAUGAAAACUGUCAUAAAGUCACUGAUAAGGCCCUAUAAGCGAUUUGCUGAAAAUGUUCAAGUUGCUUUGUCCCGAUAGUCUGAAUGCAGACUGCUUAAACAGUUUGCAGAAGUUCAAAAAUUGUCUUUUAUCCCGCUCUGCAUCAUCGCCUAUUUUAUUACAUAAAUACUGCAGUAAUUGUUUUGGGCCAUUAGAAAGUAAACAAAUAAAAUGUCUGUCUUGUGGGACCAGUGUGUCAGAAGAAAGAUCCUCAUCCUUUAUAGAGGUUCCAAUUAAGGCUCACAUAAGGUCAUUGUUCCUCAAGCCAGGUUUUCAGGAGAAGCUUAACUUCAGAUUGAGCAGAAAGAAGGCAGAUGCUAACAACAUUGAAGAUAUAUAUGAUGCAGAAGUUUACAAACAGCUUGUCGAUAGGGGUGGUCCUCUUAGUGACCCUAAAAACAUCUCACUUGGAACACCGAUGAAGACAAAAAUGGAUAUUUGUUAAUGCUCAUACAUGGUACUCAAAAUAUACCUAUGCAGAUGGUAAAUGUAGUCAAACUUGUACAGUCUAUUCCUGUUAUUUCACAAACUAUUAAACAAGGGAAUGUCAUAGCUGAAUUUUACAGACAUAUGACUAAAGAUGAUAGUUUCUGUCAGGAAAACAAAUAUUUGUCUAGGAUUAAACUAUAUGGAGCACCUAGUGAACUUCUAUUGGACACAGUUCACCUCUCUGCAUUGCAAAUACAUGCUGGUCACUGCAUCAAUUCUGGAACAGUAAGCAUAUUUCACAGGGCACAAGUUAAGAGAAAUUAUCUCACAUCAAAACACUAUGGUAAAGGUAAUAGAAGAAACAAUUUUACAGUUUUUUUUUCAAAUGACGGACAAGCAAAGUAUGGACAGAUUGAUUUCUUCUUUAUCAUAGCACAAUCAUGUGCCAAAUGGGCCCUCCUUCGUGAAUUCAAACAUGCAGGUUUUUCUUUGCUGCAAGAUAGUGUAACAAAUGGUACAUGAAGUCAUGUUAUUCCCCUAUUGGAAACCUCUGCCAGUACAGUAGUAUGAUUGGAUGACAUAUUGGGUAAAGUUGUUUUCCUUGACUUCACAUCUGUGCCUGGCAUUGUGUUUGCAGUUCAUU